AUUGAACGCUGGCGGCAUGCUUUACACAUGCAAGUCGAACGGCAGCGCGGUCUUCGGCCUGGCUGCGAGUGGGGAACGGGUGAGUGAUACAGGGGAACAUCCCCAUCUGUGUUUGCUAGCCCGGUCAGGUCCGGAUUAAUACCCCAUACGACCUGAGGCUGAACGCGGGUGAGCGUAGGACCUUGCGCGCUUGGAGCGUCCGAUGCCGGGUUAGCUAGUUGGUGGGGUAAAGGCUUACCAAGCCGACGAUCCGUAGCUGGUCUGAGAGGACGAGCGGCCACACUGGAACUGAGACACGGCCCAGACUCCUACGGGAGGCAGCAGUGGGGAAUUUUGGACAAUGGGGGCAACCCUGAUCCAGCCAUGCCGCGUGGGGGAAGAAGGCCUUCGGGUUGUAAAGCGCUUUUGUUGGGGAAGAAAUGCUCUGGGCUAAUACCCCGGGGGGAUGACGGUACCGGAAGAAUAAGCACCGGCUAACUACGUG
rnacentral:rRNA from 1 species